UACAGGCACACACAGCACAUCAGGCUAAAUUUUUGUAUUUUUAGUAGAGACGAGGUUUCACUAUGUUGGCCAGACUGGUCUCUGUAAAGGUAAACUUUACAGAGGCUGGAGCCGAACCAGGAACGAAGACACAAGGCAAAUGGCAGUCUUCCAAUGAAAUAAGAACUUAAAAGAGGAACCAGGUGUAGAGACAGGACAUGAAAGUGGACAAGAAGCGUGACAACUGAAACACAACACCACAGAGAGACAUUUAAGCCUCCAGAUGACUGCAGGCACGCCUGGCUAAUGUCAGGCCUCCCACAGGAGCUGGUGGAGCAGAGUGUUCUCUAACUCCCCCGAGGAAAGGGAAACUCCCUUUCCCAGUCUGCUAAGUAACAGGUGCCUUCCCCAGCACUGGUGGUACCACAAGACUCAGGUCUGCUAAGUAACGGGUGCCUUCCCAGGCACUGGCACUACUGCUAGACCAAGGCGUCCUCAAGCAGCCCUUAUCAGGACGUGACAGAGGACUUUCACUCUUGUCUUCUGCUCACUUCUCACAAUGUCCCUUCAGCUCCUGACUCUGUAUUGGCUGUAUCCUUGGUUAUAAUAAUAAUAAUACAGAGAUUAAUACUAAAAACUAAUGAUUGAUGAUAUCCAUAUAUAAUCAUCUCUAU